AGAGUUUGAUCCUGGCUCAGGACGAACGCUGGCGGCGUGCUUAACACAUGCAAGUCGAACGAUGAACCACUUCGGUGGGGAUUAGUGGCGAACGGGUGGGUAACACGUGGGCAAUCUGCCCUUCACUCUGGGACAAGCCCUGGAAACGGGGUCUAAUACCGGAUAUCACUUCCACUCGCAUGGGUGGGGGUUGAAAGCUCCGGCGGUGAAGGAUGAGCCCGCGGCCUAUCAGCUUGUUGGUGAGGUAAUGGCUCACCAAGGCGACGACGGGUAGCCGGCCUGAGAGGGCGACCGGCCACACUGGGACUGAGACACGGCCCAGACUCCUACGGGAGGCAGCAGUGGGGAAUAUUGCACAAUGGGCGAAAGCCUGAUGCAGCGACGCCGCGUGAGGGAUGACGGCCUUCGGGUUGUAAACCUCUUUCAGCAGGGAAGAAGCGAAAGUGACGGUACCUGCAGAAGAAGCGCCGGCUAACUACGUGCCAGCAGCCGCGGUAAUACGUAGGGCGCAAGCGUUGUCCGGAAUUAUUGGGCGUAAAGAGCUCGUAGGCGGUCUGUCGCGUCGGAUGUGAAAGCCCGGGGCUUAACCCCGGGUCUGCAUUCGAUACGGGCAGACUAGAGUGUGGUAGGGGAGAUCGGAAUUCCUGGUGUAGCGGUGAAAUGCGCAGAUAUCAGGAGGAACACCGGUGGCGAAGGCGGAUCUCUGGGCCAUUACUGACGCUGAGGAGCGAAAGCGUGGGGAGCGAACAGGAUUAGAUACCCUGGUAGUCCACGCCGUAAACGGUGGGAACUAGGUGUUGGCGACAUUCCACGUCGUCGGUGCCGCAGCUAACGCAUUAAGUUCCCCGCCUGGGGAGUACGGCCGCAAGGCUAAAACUCAAAGGGAAUUGACGGGGGCCCGCACAAGCAGCGGAGCAUGUGGCUUAAUUCGACGCAACGCGAAGAACCUUACCAAGGCUUGACAUACACCGGAAACGGCCAGAGAUGGUCGCCCCCUUGUGGUCGGUGUACAGGUGGUGCAUGGCUGUCGUCAGCUCGUGUCGUGAGAUGUUGGGUUAAGUCCCGCAACGAGCGCAACCCUUGUUCUGUGUUGCCAGCAUGCCCUUCGGGGUGAUGGAGACUCACAGGAGACUGCAGGGGUCAACUCGGAGGAAGGUGGGGACGACGUCAAGUCAUCAUGCCCCUUAUGUCUUGGGCUGCACACGUGCUACAAUGGCCGGUACAAAGAGCUGCGAAACCGUGAGGUGGAGCGAAUCUCAAAAAGCCGGUCUCAGUUCGGAUUGGGGUCUGCAACUCGACCCCAUGAAGUCGGAGUUGCUAGUAAUCGCAGAUCAGCAUUGCUGCGGUGAAUACGUUCCCGGGCCUUGUACACACCGCCCGUCACGUCACGAAAGUCGGUAACACCCGAAGCCGGUGGCCCAACCCCUUGUGGGAGGGAGCUGUCGAAGGUGGGACUGGCGAUUGGGACGAAGUC
rnacentral:rRNA from 1 species